rnacentral:rRNA from 1 species
UGAAGCUUAAAUAAGACUCUUAUAAAAACCGAAUUCUCAACGAUGGAUAUCUUGGUUCCCAUAACGAUGAAGAACGCAGCGAAGUGCGAUAAGCAGUGCGAAUUGCAGAACCGUGAGUCAUCAGAUUUUUGAACGCAAAUGGCGCCAGUUGGA